rnacentral:lncRNA from 1 species
UUAAGUCUCAAGGAUUAUAAUUAAAUCUCAAGAUCUCAUAUGUACACUUGCUUACAAUGUAACAAAUUACAACAGAGGAUCAUAUAUUUUUUGCACAAAUUACAUACUAGAAUAAGUUAAGUACCCAUAAAUAAGGAAAGUUAACCAGGUACAGUGUCACAUUAUAAUGACCUUUUCAUGUCAAUACGGCAAAGAUUUAUUUUUUUCAGCCAGUGUAAACAUGAUCUCGAUAUAAAAAUUUAAAUCUGGAAAAGCCUCUAAAUCCAUUCUCACCUAAAUCUUGAAACCAACUGAAGCCAAAUACUAACACUGCACCUGCAGGAAAGAAAAGGUAAAAUUUACUUCAAGUUUGGAGGAGAAGAAUUAUGUUCAACCUACAAAUGAAUAAAUAACUAUUCUGAGUAUUCUCAAAGUAACUUGCAGUAAACUGCAUACAAGUAAUAAAAAGGUGAGGUAUAGGGAACAUUUCCAUGAAUUUAAGAGGAACUGCAUAUAAAUAGUUGUUGUUAGAUAGCUACUCAAAUACGAGCCUCACUAACAUGCUUCAAAUUUAAUAACUUAAGCCUCAAUGAGUGUCCAUAUGGACCAUAUGUUCUUGAUUAAGUUGGCCUUUUCAAAUACCACAAGAUAGUGAUAAUUUUCCAAAAAUGAAAUUCUUUAUGUAAUCACUCAGCCUCAUUUCAUAGGAAAAGCCCCCAGUUAACAAAUAGUCUCUUCAUUCCAAAAUUAUAGAUACAUUUCUAAAACGAUGAGCUUAAGGAUAACCUUAUGUUCCAAAAAUACCCCUAAUAUUAGGUAAGAGUUUAGAAUGGUGGUGUGAUGCUAGAUAUGCUAGUGAAAAUGUAAUGGCAAAUUAGGAAUAUCAUGUAACUUUAUAGUCCUAAAAUAGAAAUGUAACUUUAUGCUUGCUUACUAGUUAAGCUGCCAUUUGUGAAAGUGUGUUUAUAGAAAUUGGAGUUGUGAUGUGCUUGUGUGAGGGAGAGAAAUGGGGAAGAUAUGUAGUCCAUUCCUUAUCAAUAAAACUACCUUUUUAAAAAGAUAAAGUAGGGCAGGUAGGGCAGACUCCAGACUCCAGUAGAAAGGCAUUAAUCUCCCUAGUUCUCUGUCGGUAAAGCAUUAGCUUAGUACAAACUGAGAAUAAUAGCUUUUAGGUCUCAAGUGAAAAUUUCUAGAUAGUCAAUGUGAGAAAGUCAUCUUCUUAAGAAAAACAAAGGGAAGAGGGCAAAACAAAAAACAUAUAUUGUGAGUUAACAGGUCAAACUUUGUCUUAAAAGAGGAUGCACAUCCUAUAAACCCAAGGAAUUCAAUUUCACCUCCAGAACCUUUGGGAACAGUAUAUCAGUUUUAAUGUAGUUCUCAAGCAAGAAAUCAGCUGAACUAACUUUAGCUUGUUUAACACCAUGGUAGAAAAGAUGUAACAGGAGUGAUACGUCCCCAAGCUAGUGGAAUUAUUAUAAUCAGAUUGAUGGGUGGUUAGGUGUAAAAUGAAUGAACCUAGUAAAUAUACCACCAAACUGAAGGCUUUCACAUUUAAAGACCACCGAUGUAGCUAAACAAAACAUACGUAUUUGCUCAUACAAAAUCCACUUUAGUGAACAAUGAUGAGAAGUCACAUUAAUAUAUGAGGUCUUAGGUCCACAAUUGCACGGUUCACUCAUUGACAAACAAUAAUCUCAACUAUAUGAUUCUUUAGUUUGUUAAAAGUCAUUUUCUGGUGCAAUCAACAUCUAGAAAUCUAGAUGAUUAAAUACAUAAUUCAAACACAAGUUCAUUGUUGUCAUAAUAAGAAACUUUCUAAAACUAACCAUAUCACAGAUGGACCUGAAGUCUUCAUCCUACCCCAUCACUUUUUAUAACUUAAGCUACCCCGAGUCACAGUUGUCAACUGUAUCUUAAAUGUGAGUUCCAUCGCCAUCAUUACAAGUAAAUCACCAUUACUAACUAGAAUUUUUCUCUACAAUUAACCAAUAAUAACAAAAUGUUGAUAGUGAAACCCUUCUUGGUAAUCAAAGAUUUACUCCAAAACCAUAUUCCUCUAUACUGGAACCUUUACCUAAAGAUCACAUGGAUAGUAAAUCUAAAUCCCCAUGCAGAAAAGGGCAUUGGAAAGAGAUCCAAUGAGAAUCAUGAGAUAGAUAGCCCGGGUGAUCAUUCUCAGAAGAAAUGAAGAGGAAAUCGGUCUCCGCUUGUUUUGUCUUUAAUUUUUCAAAUGGAACAAUUCGUUCCUCAUUUCAGUUAUCUUUACAAUGAAACUUUUAUUUGACAUUUAUAUAACAUUACCAAAACAAGCAGUAAGAAGUAUUUCAAGUUACCAAUCUCUCACAUGCAUGUCAGUAUGUCACAGUGAAAACAAAUGAAAAUUUUUGAACCCAUGGAAAGUUAAUGAAGCAUCUGUGUAUCAUAUUCACUCAUAAACUUUGAAGUUCCUGAGGCUCUUAUGGUCACAGUUGUAUAAUAUAUGAGCUUUUGUGAGGCUUGGCAAUGUCAGCCUCCAUGUUUGCAGUUACAUGUACCUUAUUCUAUGAUUUUAUCAUGAAACGUAUAUUCAUAGAAAUUAGUUACGUCCUGAUUGGAUAAUCCUUCUGAUUUUGUUUCCAAGCUCUUAUUUUACUAAAUUACUAUGGAGCUAUAUGACACCACAAUUUGUUUGGUUAAUCAAUUUUAAAAGUACGUUAUAAGUAGCAUAAGUAUAGUUACCUAUCAUAGAUAAAAUUAAAGCUUUUCCUGCAAGUUAAGUGCAUGAAACUUUUGCAGAAUGUAUUUGAGAUUGCCUACUGGCUGUUUUAGACCCAUUAUACACCCCUGCCCCACCCUUCCUUUUUCCUGAUAAGUUAUUCCCUUAAACCCUCCUUCCUACCUCCCUGGACAUCACAGGUACGUUCAGUUGAGGCAGGUACAACACAAAUAACAACUACAGAACAGAUCACUCAAAACACCUCAAAUUGAGAGAAAAAAGAUAAAUAACAGAUACAAUAUUAUCAUAUAGCUCUUGAUCUAAAAUGAACAAGGACCUUGCCUUGCACAAAAAAACGUUGGUAGUGAUUCCAAAACUUAACUAAAACACUCCAUGAGGUAUGCCAAUUUUACAGCAGGCCUGCAGAGGAGGGAUUAAAGGAGCAAAAGAGAAAAAAAUGCAUUUAUAGAAGUGCGGCUCAAGUGAAAAUUGAAAAGGCUAAUGUUCUGUAUGGAGUAUUAUUGCACCUCUAUUCUUUAUUUUUAAUUUUAAAUCUACUGGCUACUGGGAGAGUUCAAAAAUUUAAGUUUUUUUUUUGAAGUUCUACACCACAUAAAUAUUAGGAGAAUCUUUGCCUUUGUCUUCGCUAAAAGAACGUCUUCUCAGCUGAAAGCUUGAAACAAUGUUAACUAAGCCUUCUAGUUAAUUUCCAUUCUUUAUUUUUAAUUUUAAAUCUACUGGAUACUGGGAGAGAAAAAAAAUUAAGUUUUUUUUAAGUUCUACACCACAUAAAUAUUAGGAGAAUCUUUGCCCUCGUCUUUGCUAAAAGAACGUCUUCUCAGCUGAAAGUCUGAAAGAAUGUUAACUAAGCCUUCUAAUUAGUUUCCAUGUUUUUUCUUUUUUUGAUAAAUACCCAAGCCUUUUAAGAUCAUCCAAACCUCAAAAAAGGGAAGGAAAAAAUAAGAUGUUCUGUAUGAAGUAUUAUUGCACCUCUAUUCUUUAUUUUUAAUUUAAAAUCUACUGGCUACUGGGAGAGCUAAAAAAAUCAAGGGUUUUUUUUUGAAGUUCUACAACACAUAAAUAUUAGGAGAAUCUUUGCUCUUAUUUUUGUUAAAAGAACGUCUUCUUAGCUGAAAGCCUGAAACAAUGUUAACUACGCCUUCUAAAUUAGUUUCUUUUCUUCUUCUGUUUUUUGUGAUAAAUACCUAAUCCUUUUAAGAUCAUCCAAACCUCAAAAAAGAAAAGGAAAAAAUAAAAAUCCACAUUUCUUUCAACAACAAAAAUAAAAAAAUCAAAGUCAACACAGAGCACAAACGGGUACUUGUUAAAAAAAAGAGAGAGAAAGAAAGAGACAUAAUCCAAGUGCUUGGUGGAGUGACAAAUACUUGAAUAAUUCCAAAUUGACCCUACUAAAUUCAAAGGAGAUGUUUAUUCACAUUCCUAUGGGAAAUCUAUGUCAUAUUACCACGUAAAGCUUCCGGAUCUCUUAUAAAAAGGGGCAUAGUUGAUCCUUUUACCAUGCCUAUUUGAUUGCCCCUUCAACGAACAAGCUAAAUUAUUGCCAUUUAAGUAUCUCUAUAGAUAGUCUUCCCUAACCACUUUUGAGUCAAAUAAGAAACUUCGACUAACAUGAAGAAGUUCCUUGAAUCUAACGCCCGUAAAAAAAACUCACAUAAAGAAGGAAAACCACCCAGCUUAGCUAGUAAGAAUAAUAUUUGCGAAGAACUACUGGAAAAUAGCAGUCAAAAAAUAAGAAAUGGCCUCAUAGCACUCCUAUACAUAGUCUAAGUGUCAAUGGAAAGGAUACACAACUUUCCUUUCGUUAUAUCCAGUAACCUGUAACCUGAGUUCAGUAUUAUUGCUAACCUGAAUUCACCGUUAUUACUUCGGGAAGCACCUUCACC